rnacentral:rRNA from 1 species
UACGUAGGGUGCGAGCGUUAAUCGGAAUUACUGGGCGUAAAGCGUGCGCAGGCGGCUUCGCAAGUCAGACGUGAAAUCCCCGGGCUUAACCUGGGAAUGGCGUUUGAAACUACGGAGCUGGAGUAUGGCAGAGGGGGGUGGAAUUCCGCGUGUAGCAGUGAAAUGCGUAGAGAUGCGGAGGAACACCGAUGGCGAAAGCAGCCCCCUGGGUUGACACUGACGCUCAGGCACGAAAGCGUGGGGAGCAAACAGG